rnacentral:rRNA from 1 species
AUUGAACGCUGGCGGCAGGCCUAACACAUGCAAGUCGAACGGUAACAGGAAGCAGCUUGCUGCUUCGCUGACGAGUGGCGGACGGGUGAGUAAUGUCUGGGAAACUGCCUGAUGGAGGGGGAUAACUACUGGAAACGGUAGCUAAUACCGCAUAACGUCGCAAGACCAAAGAGGGGGACCUUAGGGCCUCUUGCCAUCGGAUGUGCCCAGAUGGGAUUAGCUAGUAGGUGGGGUAACGGCUCACCUAGGCGACGAUCCCUAGCUGGUCUGAGAGGAUGACCAGCCACACUGGAACUGAGACACGGUCCAGACUCCUACGGGAGGCAGCAGUGGGGAAUAUUGCACAAUGGGCGCAAGCCUGAUGCAGCCAUGCCGCGUGUAUGAAGAAGGCCUUUGGGUUGUAAAGUACUUUCAGCGGGGAGGAAGGGAGUAAAGUUAAUACCUUUGCUCAUUGACGUUACCCGCAGAAGAAGCACCGGCUAACUCCGUG